UCAACAACGGAUCUCUUGGUUCUGGCAUCGAUGAAGAACGCAGCGAAAUGCGAUAAGUAAUGUGAAUUGCAGAAUUCAGUGAAUCAUCGAAUCUUUGAACGCACAUUGCGCCCU
rnacentral:rRNA from 1 species